AUUGAACGCUGGCGGCAGGCCUAACACAUGCAAGUCGAACGGUAACAGGAAGAAGCUUGCUUCUUUGCUGACGAGUGGCGGACGGGUGAGUAAUGUCUGGGAAACUGCUUGAUGGAGGGGGAUAACUACUGGAAACGGUAGCUAAUACCGCAUAACGUCGCAAGCCCAAAGAGGGGGACCUUCGGGCCUCUUGCCAUCGGAUGUGCCCAGAUGGGAUUAGCUAGUAGGUGGGGUAACGGCUCACCUAGGCGACGAUCCCUAGCUGGUCUGAGAGGAUGACCAGCCACACUGGAACUGAGACACGGUCCAGACUCCUACGGGAGGCAGCAGUGGGGAAUAUUGCACAAUGGGCGCAAGCCUGAUGCAGCCAUGCCGCGUGUAUGAAGAAGGCCUUCGGGUUGUAAAGUACUUUCAGCGGGGAGGAAGGGAGUAAAGUUAAUACCUUUGCUCAUUGACGUUACCCGCAGAAGAAGCACCGGCUAACUCCGUG
rnacentral:rRNA from 1 species